rnacentral:rRNA from 1 species
AUGCCUGUGUCCUCCUCGUCCUCCGUCGAGCCGGACCACCACGCUACCCAAGGCGACACGGAGGGCGCCGUCUCGUUCCUGCGAAGGCAGCACGACGUCGACGCGGUGUGCGACAAGUACGGCGUCCCCAAGGACCGGUACACCGCGCUCCCCGCCGGCGACCUGCGCGCGAGCUCGCCCCCGCCGCCGGGGUGCGUCUGCGUGUAUGCGGAGGCGAUGGAGGCCGGGAUGCGCGUCCCGCUGCACGGCUUCUUCUGCGAUGUGCUCGCCCAUUUCGGCAUCGCGCCCACCCAGCUCGCGCCCAACGGGUGGCGCAUCUUGGCGGGCUUCCUGGUGCUCUGCCACUCCGCCGGCGUGCCGCCGUCGCUGCCCGUGUUCCGGUACUUCUUCCUGCUGUCCAUCGUCAACCACAAGCACAGAGGCUGCUACUUCUUCCGAUCCAGGGACACCUCCGGCCUGCGCUUCAAGGGGAUGCCGAGCUACAUCAAGGACUGGAAGAACUCGUUCUUCUUCCUGUCGUCGUCGGAGCCGUGGCCUUUCCCCGUGGAGUGGGGCGAGCCGUCCAAGAGCUCUUUCAUGGAGCCGGUACUUGACAGCGAGGGGAAGAAAUACGCGGCGAAGCUACUGCGCAGUUACGCCGGCGGCGCCGUUGACAUCAACACAUGCCUCUCCGACAGCAACCUUGCAGCCGCCAUGGCACCUGCCGCAUCUGCACCGCCGCCUUCUUUUACUCGCAUUGCUUCCGAUUCCAAAGGCAUGGAUCCCUCCGUCUACGAGAUGAUGAAGAAUAUGCUGGCGGAGAAGGUGGCCGCUCAGGCGUCGGCGUCGGCAAAGAAGGCGAAAGCCGAGCCGGACAGCCACGCGCCAGGGUCGCCGCCGUUGUGCGCAAAGAAGAGGAAUCUGGAGGAAGCCAACAGUGUGGAGGAGCCGCCUCGUUCUCUGCUGAACACGCCGCCGCUGUCCGGGAUGCGCUCGCCACCGCCGGGGUUCCCCAUCAGCCACGACGGAGACGGCACGGGCUGGGAGGCUGCACGGGAGCUGCUGCAGGGCGCCGUCGCGCCACCGCAGCACCGCGCGUUUGCGGCGAAUGAGCCGUCGGAUGUGGUCGCGGCGAGCUAUGUUGCGAUCCUCCAGGUAUGCCGUGCCAGCAAAUGCGGCGUCAAAUUCUUCACCGGUGGGCGGCAUGUCCGGAGUCUUCUGAUCGAUCAUUGUGAUUUGUGUGCAGGCGGCGAACUACGUGUCGACCUCCUUGGACUACGCGCUGGAGCUGGAAGAGAAGCUGGCGGCGCGGGACGCGGAGGUCGCGGCGCUAGAGAAGCAGCUGGCGGAGACGAAGGGCUAGCUCGCCGCGGCGAGGGCGGAGCGUGA